rnacentral:lncRNA from 1 species
GGCUUGCCUACGGCUAACUGAACAUCCACUCUCUCGUAACGCAGCCAUGUCGAUGAACGAAGACGAAGUUUCCACACGCCGAAAGCCCUCCCUGUCUUCAGAUCUUGUUACUCGAUUCGGUAACACAGUGUCUUGUGCAGAUUGACGAAUAGGCUCGCUGACCUUCGACAUCGCAGAUUAUAAAUUACCAUUGCAUGAGCAUGAAGUGGAAUUUCUCUCCUAGAUGUCGACUUACGUUGAUGUUUCACUUUGGAUGCCAUGCGACUCGCUUGUUUGUUAGUUUCCCCCCUUUUUUACUCUCCUUAUUUCUACUCGUUCUUUAUCACCGGUUUUCCUGCCAGGUUUUAGACAGGAUUUCUUGUAGUUCAUUCGGGCUUGAGAAUGUACUCAAACGUAAGAGACGAAUGGUGAAGUUUUGUAACCGUGAAGAUGUAGAACAGUUUUGGAAUCAAGCUGAGAGCCAGCAGCUGCAUUUCCAGCCUGUACUAUGUACGUACUCAGGUGGCUGCCUUUUAUGAUCAUGGACGCUAUGCAUGUCUGAGGCUGG